AAAAUCCUAGCCUUCUUUGGACUAUUUACCCAGAGGUUAUACUUAAAGGUUGAAGAAUUUUAGAGCUUGAAGGAGAAAAGCCCUCGCUCUUUGCUUUUGAAAGAAACAGCUUUUUUAACACUCCUGUAAAUAAAAAGUAGAAAUGAAACGUUUUGAGAUAUAGAGAGACUUAACAGCUGUAAAGCAUUGUUGAUAUAAUGCUGUUAUCAUUUUAAACCAGCAAAAACCUGUUGGUGAGUGGUGAUUUAGGCUUUGAUUUGUAUCACCUGUGCUACACAGGUGAUGCAUCCAAACAGGGGGAACACCUGUGAGUUGCUUGCAUGCCAUGUGGAGGCUUUAUUCCCUUAGAUGAGGACGUGUAUCAGUAAGUGCAUGUCUGCUCAGUGUGAGUUUUCUUCUUUUUCUUCAAAGAAGCAUAAUAGUUGUUGAUUUAUAGCUAGUUAUUUUAAUUUCCCUACUCUGCAAAACUAAAAGAGAAGCUGACCUCUGAUGAGCGGCUACCAGUGGUUUCCUCUGCUACGUAGUGGAGAUUUGCAACCGGCUGUUGAAGGGAAGGAAGAGGUGAGGUGCAUGAAUUAAUUAUUUAAGGCACCUGAUUGAGGAAGAAAGUACUGUCUAAUCAAAACAAGAUCAAGAACAAAGAUCCAAGAAGUAUGAGAAAGAAAGAAGAAGGAAUUCAGUCCUCAAUAAUGAGGAAAGAUGAUUCAUGCCAUGUAGUGACACAAGGGCACAAGUGCUGCACUUCAGUCGCUCCACUGAAUUCUAUGGGAUUUUCUGUCUGCUGGAUCACUGUUUUGUUUUUAGGGCAUGUAAAAAUUACUUUGACAUUGGCUUUUGCCAGCAGAGGAGUCCGUUAAAUACAAUCAAUCUCUUAGCUCAUGUCAGGAAGACAGCGAUAGAGAAGAUGACUCUUACUAAAGCUUCAGGUAGAUGCUGUGCAUCAGACUGGUGAGCAAGAUUAAAUCUCUGAAGGCUCUGGCUGUCUCAAUCUCCAUUGAAGUUGCUGGGAUCUGAAGACACAACUUUCUUAUUACGGUGCUGUUUGCUAUAAGUGUUAAUAUGGUCAAAGGAAGACUACCCACCAAAGACUGUAAGGAACAGUAGCAAAACCUUUUUAUUUUUUACAAACGCUAAUGCUACUUGGGGACCAUUUCAUUCCCCAAGUGUACAUCUGUGUGAGCAAAGGAUUCCCAGAAACAAGCAAGAAGAAUAUUGAGACCAUUGCUCAAUAACCACAGCUUUUAUUUGGCAAUAGUUAUUGAGACCUGCAAGGGUUUUCCUGGGCUCAAAACUUGUCUGUUUCUUGUAGCAAUGUUUUCUUUUGGGUCAUAUGGAUUAUUUCAUGUUAUUAGAGCUGAAUACUAGUUGUCUACCAUUUCAGAUUUGCUAGCUUUUUAUCUUGUAGCAAUGUAUUUGUAUGCUGUAAUCUAUAGCAAAAUGCCAUUGUAAUUUUAAUGUCAGGUGUACCCACUGUGAGUCUCAGGUUUGUAUCGCUAUCCAGGGAAUGUGUCUGAGCUCUUUCCUUUUUAAGCCUAGUUGAAGCAGUGCAUCCAGAUGCAUUACUUUCAAAUCUUAUUCUCAAAUGUUUUAGUGGAAAUGAUGUGUGAUCAUUUUAAUCUGGCCUUUAUGUGUUUGACCGGAACUCAGCCUACAUAUUGCCGUGAGACAAGGGAAAUUGGAUGCUUUUACUUUUACAGCCAAAGUAUUCAUAUCCUUCCAGAAAAAAAGAACUAAUCUUCUGAAGCAGCAGGUAAGUAAAAGAUUUGUGGAGAAAUGGGAAAGGACAUUUAAUAUAUUUAAUCUUAUUAUACAUUUUUCUACAUUAAAAGUCAACAGGCUGCAAAUAUAUUUUGCUACAAAGCUUUUUGUAGGAAAUAUCUCUAUAAGAAAAUACAUCUCAUUAAACAUUUCCUGUAAAUAAAUUAUCCCACAUAACUAUGUUUUGUAAGAGGAGAAGGGAGAGGGUUAGGCUAGUGAUAAGAAGAGCCAAAAAUUGCUGAGCCCAUUUCUGCAACCCCACUGCUCCAUUUGGGUUACAUUUUCUUGUACACAUAGUUGAAAUGAAGGCAACAGAGCUCCUCUGUUGAGCAUGUGCUGUCAGUGUAAAUAACACAGACAGUGUUAUUUAAAAGUACAGUUCCUGUACUUUUUUAAUAUCUUGAAAUUAUGCUAUUUCUGAACCUUAUUCCUGUUUUAGGUACACAAGAACUCCUUUGAAAUAACCAAAGUGGAGCUGGUAGGACUGAGUUUGAAGUCUGACUCAGACUGUUAAAAAACAGAAGAGCCCACCCCAGAGCAGCUCCUUAUGGCAAUUAAAAAAUAACUCCAGUAAGCAGGCACAGCCAUUGUGGAAAGCCACUGUAGCCCUUAUACUGGCCCCUGAAACAUCAUGGGACAACACAGCAAGGUUUCAAGAUACUCAGGCCUCUCAUCCAUAGACAAGAGUUUAAAAUUCUACAAUGAAGAGAAACAGAGCCAGAAGACUCCUCUCAGCCAUGGAAAACACACUCUGCAACAGAUGGAAAGAGAAUAGAGGAAAUUAAAUUACUUUGCUCUGCCAAGCCUACAUAAGAAGUCCACAUUACAGAGAUGCACCAAAUACAAGUGACUCUGCACCUUUGACAACACAAGUACAAACGAGGGCAACCACACUGACCAGUCAAAUGAAGAAGAGGGAAGAGGGGGGAGAAAGAGGAAGAUGAUUUAAUAGAUGGAGCCCUGUACUUCCCUGGCAUGAGAGCAGUUUCCUUUGAAACGACAGCAAUGCAGUGGACAUUCAACUUCUCAGAAAGCUGUAAGGUUGCUGUAACAACAGGUGUGAUAAAUACAAUUUGCACUAUUAAAAUAUUCUAUUAAUCCAUCACUGAAAUACACAAUUACUCACUAUGUUUAAUGGAGAAAAAUCUGCCUCCUCAACCUGCACAUUUUCAUCAGCUUAGAAAAAACUUCACGAAAAUGCAGGUGGUAGCAUUGACUGCUUCUGCUAUCAGCUCAGGAGGAAGGGACUCUGCCGUCAAGCAUGAGUUUGCUGAUUCUAUCUGUUGGAAACCCUGUCUUCAGACAUAGCAGAAGGACUGAGAGAUCUGAGCAGAAAAAAGAUGAUGAAUUCUGAAGGCAAAUGUAAGUAAAUUCACUGAGUUCAAAGGAUUUAUCACAGAGGCUCCCCACAAAAUUACAAGAUGUAUUUAUGAAGUUUCUAUAAACUAUGAAGAUACUCAGCCCUACACAUAAUGAUAAUUUAAGAGGAAAGUAUUUGCUCACAAGCAAAAAAACACUUCAGGAAGUAACAAAGGAAAGACAUUCCCAACCGCAAACCUUCAAUCUGAGUGAUGAAUGGCAUGAAAAUCAGAACCCUCUUUGAAAGUAUUUACUUCCCUCCGCUGACCAAAUGGUAGCAAAAUUGUUUGAAAAGUUUACCCUCACUUGUGUGUGCUACAUACUUUGUAAAUCUGUCCUGAGCCUCUUUGUCUAUUUCUCCGUUUUUUUUCCAUUUCCUUUUCAUUACAGUCAUGUUUUCCAUUCACUACAGUGAUCUCUCUGGAAUAUUUAAUGUGUAGUCCAGAAGUCUCCCUGAAUGAAAAACCCACUCUGAAGUCCAUGGGAUUAUUCACACUGAUUUCAAUGGGCACUGUCCUGGACCCUCAAGCUCAGCACAGUAUUUGCCCAACUAAUAUCUAUGUAUGCACAUCGUAACUGAAGUAAACGAGGCAACAAGAAUGCUUAUAUUGAACCAUAUAUGCUGAAGCUACUUGAUUAACUGGGUAACAAGCUGCAUUAUUUAUGACACUGAUAAGGUAUGAAUUGAUGAUAGUGAUUUAUGCUAUUGAUAAUAAAUUCCUGAUAAUUUGCCACUGUGUUUAGUACCUACCAGUGCAAUUUCCCUUCUCUGCAUUUGUCUCAUUCCUGUUUGAGCAGUUCCAUAUGGCUCCCACAGCAUCAUGGGGCAAUGAGCUGUACCAUGUGAAAUAGUAGUUCAGGCUGCCUGAUAAUUGCACACUGUCUGCUCUUGGUUCUUUUAGGAAAAGAAUGAGAGAUUGCUCCCCAUUCACCUUUUCUAUACCAUUCCUCUUCUCCCAUGGGAAUCUCUUUCCCAAACUGUGUGAUGCGUUCCAUUUGAUUUCUUCUGUGUCAAAGCAGUUCUGCUCUGAUCACUCCCACAUCUUCCCUCCCCCUUCCAAUUCUGCCUACUUUAUAGCCUAUUUAGAAAAAUGCACACAGUUACUCAAGAUGAGCAAUACAUUUAACUUAAAAAUAGUAUAAAAUGACCUUUUUUGUUCUCAGUUCCUGAUACUCUGCUUGGAUUUUUUUUUUUUUUUUUUUGUCUUUUUCUGUCUCCCUUUGCUGCUGCUUUGUGAUAGCUACAGUGACUCUAAUUUAGAAGUUAUCACUACAUGUGCCUAGCUAUUGUCACAUUAUUCAUACAUAAUGCUGUAUACCUACAGAAAGGGAAUUUUACCCAUGGUUUUAUUUUCCAGAUGCUCAGCAUACUGGAUUUUACUGCAAGUCUUUGUGGUCCAUUUCAGUUCUUAUUGUUCUGGAUACAUUUCAUUAAAAACUUAUGUGCCUCACUAAUUCCAUUUUCCAGAUAAAUUUCCAAUAUGUUGAACAGCAUCAGCCUCCAAUGAUUUGUAUGAAACUUCACUUACAUCCUCCCUGCCUCCCUGCGUUGCAAAAACUGGCCAUUUAGACCUGCUUGUUUUUUCCUGUCCCCUUACGGCUUAUUAGGUAUUCUAAUGUGUUGUGAAAGGGGUUAUCCCUUGACAAUUCAGUUUCUUUAAAGCUUUUAUACUUGAGCUGGAGCUCUGUUCACAUAUGUAUUAGAAGAGCAGUGGCAAACUGCUUGCCAGAAACAGCAUCAAUUGAGUUUGAUCUGUCAUUAGCCUGGUAAGAGAGCUCUUUUGAAACAUUAACCUUCAUGUUAUCUUUACAAAUAUGAUUAAGGCUGAGUAUUAAGAGAGCAUUUUGGGAGGCAGACGGGAAGGAAGAAGAGAGCCUCAGCCUCACACGUUAGCAGGACAGCAGAGCAUUUGAGGUUUCUUCUUCUGGAAAAUAGUCAGGUGAAACAUACUGUGAAAAUCAACUUUAGAAGAAGCAAAUGUUCACAAAAUGUCUUCUUGCAGCUACAGUUUGCGUUAAUUUCCUGUCAGUGUGGUCAUUCUGGAUAGGAGGGAAUCAAAAGUAAAAGCACUGCAAAACUUUUCUAAGCUUUCCCAGCCUACAAGCACAAAGACUUCCAGUGAAAUCAACAGUCCCAGGAGCAGCUGAGCUCCCUGUCCUGCGGUAACACAGACAUGCAUUGUGUUGUAUGGCCAACAGUGCAGCGAGUCGCCCUCAGGGCUGGUCCUGUAUGUUUGUGCCACUUCAGCAGCAUGGAUCGUCCCCAGGGAAAUUCAGCCCACCACCAUCUUCAGCUCUCAUACAAGCUUGUCUUCCCUUCAGUUAAGGGGUAAAGACGCAAAUUUAAGUGCUGCAUCUCAAAAGACUUGCAUGUCAGGGAAAAAAUAAAUAAAAUUCAGAAGCAAAACAAUACACAGAAAUUGAGACCAAGUACUGACCAGUAGAGAAUACAAUACAGCCAGAAAUACAACCAGAAGGAGCACUGGAGGUUGAACCAGGGAAAGAGAGGAAAUCAAAUCCAGAAACCAAGUGUCAGUGUCAGUUGCGCAAUCUGUUUUCACAGAAUCAUCUAAAUCUGAAUUAGUGAAUUCCACUUCAGCUUUUGCUUCUACCCACCACUACAUGCACAGUAUCUGGGAAAUGAGCGAGGCACGUCUCUGGAGAACAGCAUGAGUCCGGUGCCUCCACAGGGCCGAAGUCAAUACGUUCCUGUGUCAGAUGCAUGCACCAGGGUAGCCAUCCCAGCUGCACAACACAUGAUGUGUUGACUGCUUUACAUAGGGUGGGUCAGGAAGAGGCUCAUUAAGGAGAAACUCUACAGCUCUGCUUGCAACAUCUUUGCAUCCUCAACUAGUUUUACACCAAAGCCAAAUUACAUUGCUUUCAAAAAAGGGGUUAUUCCGCACGGAGACAGAAAUCCCUACAGAAUGGUCACAUUUACCAUGUCUAGUACAUUAGAUACACAUAUGCCACUGAUCCUUCAUAUCAUUAUUUCAUUGUUGAGGGAAAAACAUACAUUUAACUUUUUAUGUAGUAAUAUAUACAACAAAGCAUUCCAAUGACCAAAUUCUGAUUAUCCUACAUAGGUGAUGACAGACAGAGCUUCUCCCCAAGUACACUUUGCAGCAAGGGAGUCUCAGCCUAACCACUUCCUCUGAGCUGAAUUUCUCUCCUGUCUGGAAAGGCCAUGACCCCACUCCCUAAAGGCAUAUACAACCUAAUUCCCUCGAAAACAGUCAGUGGAAUUAGGUACACAAAUCCCCUUGAAAUUCAUCCUAUUUGUAAACUAAGAGCUAAUGUCUGAGAUGGCUUUCCACAGAAGUAUGGCUCACCCCUUGGCUAAGACGGGCAAUGACAGCACAUUUUACAAAGACCGGAGAAUUUGUGUGGCAUUUCUGGGCAAUGUGAACUUGUUCCUGUGGUCACAUUUUUUUGGCACAUCUGCUGGGAAGCAGUGCUGGAGGGAAGCAAGUUACAUCACUGCUUUGAUUACUGAACAUUCCCCACUGUGGAACUUCCCCACAGUGGACCUGAAAGCUAUUCCUGAAUAAUUGAAGGUACCAUCACGUAGCUGUUACAGAUGAUAAACAGUUUGGUUUUGCUUUCCCUAUCCCUGACCCUUCCAUUCUGACCUUUCAGCUGUAAAACAGGCCACAGCAUUACAUGUGAGAAACUACGUCAAUCCCAGCAAGGUCAAUGACAAUUGCACUCCAGACCUGGAACUCCUACAUCACUCUCGUAUCUGCUUGUACAAUGAAUACACUGGCUUCUAUUUAUCCCAAACUUUUAAACCAAAGCUAAAAUUGUAUUAUCCUACUCUUGAUCUGGUUCUAUCAGAGGAAGAUUUUGUGGGUAACUCAUUGAGAUAAGCACCUGAAAGUAGAUACCCCCUCCAGUGUUGAAUAGUACUUUGGCUAGUCUGUCCUAUCUGUGAUACAUGCCUGUCAUGAAAAAUGAAAGAUUUUUGGAGUGCUAAUCCCUGUUCCAUGACAAUCUGCAGUCUAUUUGCUAUUCCUUUUUGGCUUUAUUUUUAACAGGGCCUUAAAACAUAUUUUUCCUUAAAAUGACAACAUUCUUUUCUGCCCUCUUUGUUCGUGGGGCUUUGUGUGCUCAUAAACAGUUUAAGAGUUCCUUCACACCUGUGAUGCACAUGUGUGCCUGUAAUAAGGGCUCUCUUAUCUAUCCUGCACUGAUAAACUUAACAGCACAGUGUUUAAGAAAAAGCACUGUCCUUGUGACCGCAAUAAACAGAACUAAACCCAAGCCCCAAACCUACAGCAGCGACGUUAAGGUCUGAGAUAGGAGAGAACUUGACCCAUGAAGCUCAUUAAAAAAUCUGCUCUCUCAGGUACUAGGGGUGUCUCUAGUUUUGCACUCUGGGAUUUAAACUCUCUGUAACCUGAGUUCGUUGAAGUGCACUGGUAAUAGAAAUCCCCACUUGUAUUUCAAAUGAACAUCUGUCUAUCAAGUGUCGCCAUGCAUUAAUGUCUUUAAAGAUUCUACAAAUAUUUUUUAAUGACGCCAUCCAAAGUUCGGAUGGCUUUAUUAAAUCUAAGCACUGGGCCAGAUACAUGCUCCUCACUUUGGCAAAAUCAGGACAGAAAGUUAGGAAAAUCUAAUGAUGAAAAUUUGACUUUCAAACUCAUUCUUCCAAGCAGCCUAUCCUUUCUUCAGCACUCCAGCCAGUCAAUCCUCCUACACUUUGAAUGACAUCCGAAGAUAAAAAAAAGUCUUACGCAUUCACUAACCACAAUAGCGUUGCCUUUCAGCUUAUGAUCUGCCUACCACCACUGUUUAGUCAAUGCUUACAGCAAGAUGCAUACAGACAAACAAGUAGGUUAAUAAAGCUGAACAUUCCUGCAUAUGAGACCUUUAUAAAAUUUUGCACCACUUAGCAUAUUUUACGUGUUUAUAUCAUACAAAAAAUUAAAACCUCCUAUUUCUCACAUAUUCUAGUCACUUCUCUAGAGAAAUAAAGGGACAGAGUCUUUCUUAUUUCUUCUCCUGGCUGCAGUGUGGGAGCAGAGAGGCUGUGGGGAAGGCGAGCAGACCUGCAGCUUCUGACCAGGCAGCAAAUCCUGCUCAAAGAUGCAAGAAGACAGCUUGCAUCAUCCCAAGGUUUUGCUGCAUCCUUUCUUGAAUCCCUGGACUCCGUGUUCCUUACUUGGAAAACUCUGCCAAAAAUGUCAGUGAACAUGACCUGAACUGUGCUAAAGCCAUGCUGCUGCUCAAAAACAUCUCGCUCAGAAAAUGCCCCCUGGAAACUCAUUUACAUAGUGGGGAGUGGAUCGGUACGCAUGAAGACAUCCAAGCCACAACUUCUCUUUUCAGCUGCCUUGUACUGGCUAAGCACUACUCCUGCUGUCCAAGCUGAGGUCUCAAAGGGAAGAAAUCCCCAAGUUGGCCUAACCACAGGACGUUUUGGGAUCUGCAAGACUGUCUCAGUCUAUUUUAACUUAAGCACUGGUACAAAUUCUAAGAGAAAUUUAUCUUCACAGAGAAAAACUUAAUCUUCUGGUUAGAUAACACCACACACUACAAUUUGAUACUUAAUAAAUACUUGUGAAGCUAUAAUACAAGUAUUCACUUGGUCACUUAUCCUUUUAGCAGUAAAAAACAACUGAGAUUGAAGUUCAAUUGCAAUGUGUUGCAGAUGCUGUGGCAAAGACCCCCUCGGAAAGCAAUUUCCAAAGGAUUCUUCUUGUUAAAAAACCAUUUCCUCAGUGAGGAAUGGGUGUCUGGAAGAUAGCAAUGGGGACAAAACUAAGCACAGAAGUUUACAAGCAUUCCUGAAGAGCAUUUAAAAAACCCUGUAUUUAUUCAAACAAUUGCAAAAACAUUUUAAGCAGUAAAGCAGUAUAGCCUCUCCACCAAAAUACAGACUUGUCGGCCUACCUUUGGAUGAAUGUUUUUCCUCAUUGUCACUAAAAAGACAUGAGGCAGCACCAGCAUUUGCCUCCACCCAGGAGAAGGUAUAGAAGAUGGAUGGCAACCUCCUGUUUCCCCCAGUCCUCCUACAGCUUCCAGCAUUUCCAUUCUUAAGCACUGACCCACAAGAGUUUCCCACCCCAAGAUCUGGUUAAACUACUUUACUAUGAGUAAUAUAUAUUGCAAAUUCAGUUUUGAUGGGAGUAACAGGACCUGAGAGGGUCUGGAAGAACAACUUCAGCCUCACUGAGUAACCUGCAGUGUUCAGCUCACACAACACAGAGCGUGGUUGGUCUGGUGGGUCAGAUGGCAUCAUUAUUGCUACCUGAAAGGGUGAAAAACUCACAUUUCAGAAUUACAAGUUUGAUAAAAUUUUCAGACUAUGCUAAAAGUGUGAAACACCUGAUGUCCUCUCGUGUACUUGACAUCUCCCAUCAUCGCAGGCUGUUGAUGUGAUGAUCCCUCCACAAAAAGAACAAUAAUGAUGCCAUGCUAUUUAUCUCUAGAAUCACUGCCAAAUUUACCAUCAGGAAACGUACCAGCUGUGCCACAUUUGCUACUCUGUCAAAUGGUCACCCUGUACACUGGUGGAUGACAGCCAGCUUUUUUUUCCCUCCCUGUUUCUUUCGUUAUUGUUAUCCCUUUAUGUUACUCACUGUACACUCUCUCUCCAUGUGAAUGUUGAAUAUUAACUAUCAAAUUACAAUCUGGAACUCCUUCUUUGGUAAGGAAUGUAAUUGUUCUCCCCACCCCUAAUGAGGAGUUGGUCAUUUCACAGCUCCUCUUUCCUUCCCUUCCUCCUGAAGAGCAACAGGGAGACAAUGCAUGAGAAGGAAGAAAAGUUCCCACCCCACACUCAUCCUAUAUCAAAGAGACAUAGGUGGCUCACAGCUCAGUCUCUGUAUCCUAUGCAACCUAAUUCUCCAAUAUAGAGAAGUGGAUAAACUUUUAUUUUUAUCAUAGAAAACAAGAUGGUGUCCUAAGCAAGUUCACUGCGAACCAGAAGGGUGGAAGGCUCUGCUCUUUUGCUGUCAACCCAAAAAAGAGGAAACAAACAAACAAGAAAGGCACAUCUGUGCUAGCCCUGCCAGCUUAGGUCAACAGAACCUUUAGCCAUUUUUAACCCAAAUGCUGCUGAAGACACACUGAGGAGAUAAAACACAUGUCAAGUCCAAAGUUCCCUAACAACACCUUUUGCUUGCAGCUCUGUAUCAUGUUGUACAGAGGUUUUCCUACUUUAAAUCUAUACUCUGUAAGAACUUGCCCUGAACAGAGAUCAUGUACCCUGCCUGUGGCAAGGAAGUUGGGACUUGAUGAUCCUUGAGGUCCCUUCCAACCCAAGCUAUUCUACGAUUCCAUGAUAGCAACAGUACUGCUGUGUUGUACUUCACAUGAACAGACCCACAGUAAGAAAAUCACAGAAGGCACUGAGGCCCACCAGAAAAUCUAACCAUCAGAUCAGCAGAUGGAGUCUUCCUUAGAACAUGGAGCAUCAGAAAGCCCCCAGAAGCUGUUCUUAUUUGCAACUGCAGCAAACAACCUAAGCUAUUUGAGAUGGAAGCCUAGCUCCCAUUAAAAAGGACUUAGACAUCUAUGAGCUGAUUUGAAUACUUGACACUGGCCACCUGGAGUACCGUGGUGUCCUCUGUGAAACAAUAGAGUUCUGUUGAGAGAGAAGAAAUCAACCAACCAACAACAAAAACAAACCCCACAAAACUAAAAGGGGGGGAUGAAAGAAUAUGAAAGCAAGAAGAUUAAGUACAAGAUGGCAGCAAAUCUGUCACUACGGUUUUUUUUUUUUUGAUACAGAUUAAAUCUUUCUGAUGCUCCUGAAAAUGAACUGAGCUCAGUCAACUCCAAAGAGAUUAGUUACACUAGUCUCAUUUCUAUUAGUGGCUUUUAAAAUGACUCUCUCUCUCUCCCCUUCCAGAGACAUUUCAUGCCAAAAUACCAACCUUCAGCAUCUCUGCAGGCUGUCCUGAAGAGGUUCACCAUUCUGUGUAGGAACAUACAAUAAAAUAAAGGGAAAAUAAAGGAGUUUUUUUUCUCGUGAGAUGCAUUACUUUCAGUGUAAUUUCUAUCUUUCUAGCUAAGGUUGAGAUUCCAAGAAUAAACGUUUGCCACAGCAACAUAGACAUAUUCUGUUUGCAAUUCCUUUUAACAGAUCUCAUUUUCAUCAUUUAAGACUUGCAGAAAGAGACUGCACUGACAGCAAGUCACUGCUUCCCUCCAUGAGAGCUGCCAAAAUGUGCAGAACUGAGCCCUGUCCUCUCGCUCCCUGGCCUUAUGAGAACACAUUUAGAGGCAUGCACAGCCUGGUUCACACUUACAUGAUGCACAGAGAAUGAGGCAGAAGGCUUGCAUAGUGAAGCAACACCUCAUUCCCGAGCAUGUGCAGAGCAGUCCACCUUCGCUUACUGCUAAAAUCACUAAAGCAGUACCAUUUGCACUGCAUAUGUGCAACAUGCAUGUCUCCAAGAUUCAUUACUGUGCAUAUGAAAAUUCAAUCAUAUCAAAGCUUAGCUUUAAGAAAGUCCCAAGGGGCUGAACCAUGUGCUUAUGUACUUUGAGGGGGGAAAAAACAACCCUUACUUUUUUUUACUUUUUUUUUUCUUUUUUUUUUGGUAGCAUUGCCCCUGUCUUUUUUUUUUUUUAAGAACAAAAUAGCUGCUGAAUGAGUGAACUCCACAUUCCUGCUGUGUGUUUAUAUCCAUCCAUUCCAUAAAUCAAGUUCUGUUUCUGUACAAACACAAGUAUAUAAAUCAUAGAUGGGUUUAGAGUCAAUCUUGAGAAAAAUAGCUUUAAUGAAUAAAACUAAUUAUUUUAUUUGAAAACUGCUGUGCUUUCGUCAUUUGGCACGACAAUGUGUAUAUUUGCAUGCUCUCUUUCUCUCUACUUUUUGUGGCUCUUUUGAAAGCAGACUAUUCUGCAAUUUGGAAAUCCCACACAUUCACCUAUUUUCAUUACAGCUUGAAAAUUGCUUUUUUCAUCAUGUUUUUUUUUAUGAAAGUGGAUCUGUAAUUCAAUCAAAAAGGGAAUCAUUGUACUGAAGGAAAGUGAUGGUUUGGGUUUGCACAUCUUACACCUCAUUAAAAGAGAACAGAUGAAUGUGUACGUUCUUUAAAAUACUUUUUCAAGCAAAGUUCAUUUAAAAAAAUAUACAAAAUGAAUCUGCUCUUCCUGGCUUUUGUAUAGGCCAUUCACAUCCAUGGAUGUGAAUCUCGUAGAAACUGGUUUCAACUUAGAGAUACCAGAAACGCAAUGUAAGUCAUAGUUGAAAGACAGGAUUUUCAAAGUGUCACCCUCAGUUAUCUAAAGGACAAUCAAAAUGCACAUGGAGCUUUACUAGUGGAGCCAAAGCAGGGAGGCAGUCCCUGCUUUUCUUCCUCAUUCCAAAACAUCACACAAACCUUGGCCUCUUGGACCUGUUACCAACAUCUGGUGGCUGCCAUGCAGACCCUGUUGGCAUCAUGCACUGACAGGCCAAGGGGAAGCAUGCUGCUGGCUGCAACUUCCAGCCCAGGUGGGAAGGAAAGGUCUCUGCUUUGAAGGUGUUCCACAAAUCAAAAUUUUUACGUGUAUAAUAAAAGGGUUUUUUGGAUAUAGUCUAACAAGAACUACAGAGCUGAAGAGGAGCGCCAUGCAAACAAACAGAAGCAGGAACUUCAUGGGACUCCUUCGUGGAGUUAAAUUUCUCCAAAAUAGCAUUUCCAGAGUGAGGCACUUGUAAGUACAACUGUGGAAGGAUAAGACUCGGCUGACAAGCCAUGAGAUACAAAGUGUUUGCAAGACACAGCCAGUGUUGAGAUAAUUAAAGACAAAAUUAAGCUUGUGCUAUACUGGCAUCUGCAAAGCAUCAGUUAAUCAAACAUAGUGUGUUAAUCAGAGUCAUUUUUCUGAGGGAAAAAUGUAAUCGAGCUUCAUCAUUUUUUGUGUUGUCCUCAGGCUCUGGCAGACCUUCCAGACAGAAACUAAAUUUUCCUAAGUAUUUGCACACUAGGCAGUGCAUCAGAACCCGAGACAUUUUCUAGGCACUACUGCAACAUUAAUAGGAAGUAGUGCUAGAAAAGCCACUUUGUAGGAGCUUUUGCUCUGUAUUAAGAAGUCAAAUAAUAAUAACAAAUUAAAGUGGGCACCAAAGCAUAACCUGGCAAGGAGCUAAUACUCCACAUCCCAUUUUUGCAAUCAAGAGACAAGCCAUUCAACUACUUAGCAAGACUGCUGCCAGUAAGCCAGUGUCUCCCAGAUUCCACACAGAAGAGCAAAGACUACAUUCUCUAGUGACCUCUGCAGAUUUAGCAAUCCUGUGCUUUUUUGGUUUGGGGUUUUUUCCUGGUAUUUUUUCUUUUCUUUUCUUUUUUUUUUUUUUUCAUUUUUGGACUGUUGCUGGAUGUAACUUCUAGGUAUUGUAAUCAAUUUAUUUUUAAUUCAAUGGAGAAAUAAUUCAUACUGUCUUGGUUGCUAGCUAUUCAAGAUAUUGUGGUUGCAUUUUUGGUGUCUUUGGUACAUUCUAUUGUAACAUUCUCAGGGCACUGAAGUCAAUUACUAAAUUUCACGCUGUUUUACUUGCUACAAAGCACCAUCCAAGCAUUUUCUAGCAAGUCCUUGUGGGUAACUACAUCCUGUGUAAGAAGUGCAUGCAUGUCUGUGUGCUGAUAGAGAUGAGGUCAGUGUCAGUGUAGCCAUUUUGAUUAAUGUCUUUUUGCUUUAGUUUCUAUGGGCUUAAGCCUCUUAGCACAACAGUAAAAAAAAAUAAUAAUAAUCAAAUAAAUUAAGCCAAACACAUUUGAAACACAAAGACUUUGCUGGUAUCUGCCCAUCAUGCCACUGUAGUGUUAUAACUCAUCCCAGCUUUUCUCUCUUUUUUCUCUGUUCCAAACCUCAUCCUCUCUCACCCACCCUGCAGACAUACCCGUCUCCUUUCCUAGCUGUCCCACUUCUUCCCUCACUGCUACUGCCGCUGCUCCCGCUGUGCAUGUGGGGAAGUGUGAGGGCCUGUCCUGGUAGGAGGCACAAACCCUCCUGUGGGAAAACAAGCUAUGUAGUGGUGGGGGAAAUGGGAGACGUGACCUGUUGGGGGGGAGAAAUGAAAGAAUGGCCUUCAGCUAGGGCUUGGGAAGGGUAGAGGGUCAUGGAACCUACAGGAUGAAGAAGGGACGUGUGGCUGGAAAUUGAGUUCGAUAGCUCUCAGCCUACCACAUCAUUGCGCUGGAGGAGGAAACCCCAGUGCCAAUGUAGGGAGGAGAAGAGAGGUAAUACAACCCAGAGGGAAGAAAUCUGAAAUGUGGUGAACUGAAAUUGGCACAGUGCCACCAUAAAGAAAUCUAUGAACAGUUAUGACUUGCAAUCCCAAUUAUGAUAUAUGGGCAUUUCCCUUUCAGGUUGUGUUACUGUAGCAGAAUGAUGACACAUCAGAGCUUUCCCUACUAAUGCAGUGGAAGCCGUAUCUAACAUGCAGAAAAAUUAACACCGCCAAUCUGGCCUCUUUCAUUUAUGGCUCUAUUCACUGCAUUUUAUUUAUUGAGAGAGAUGAUGUAUCCAAUAUAUCCAUGACAACUUUCUAGAAGUGGCUAGCCACCAAAAUGUUGGCUGCUCCCAAAAGUCAUUCCUCUAAAUCAAGCUAUGAAAGGAAACUGGUGGCAGACAGCAUGAAGAACUGAGCCCUCUGAAAAGUAACAAUCUCACAUGCACUGUACACUCCUAUUUCUGAGUGCAAUUUUCUCUUGUGCAAAUGCUGUAGACACCUUGUGAUUUUCUGUGAAAAUGGGAAAACAUUAACAGCCUGCAGAAAGGGGAAAACGGGAGUGAAAAUGAAGAACAAUGAAGGCAGUGAAAUCUCACCAAUUUAGCACAUCAGUACUCCUCAUUCUCUACUGAUCCAAGGCAGUAAAGAGAAUAAGAACGGAAAAUAAAUAAUAUUCCUCAGAAAGACAUAAAAAGACAAGUCAUAGUAAGAUCCACAUUUGCCCUGUCACUCUCUCCAGCAAGACAAAUCAGCUUAUUUUGUUCACACAAGUAAUUUCUUUAAUUUGAACUGGAACUUUGCCUGACAACGACGCACAGGAUCUUCCUUCUCUGGGUAGAUGUAACCACCAGCUGAAAUACAUCAACACUCCAGAUAAGCCAUGAACUAUUGUAUCCCUUGAUUUAUAGCUGAUUAAAGACUCCCAAAUUGCUCCUAGUCCUGAGAAUUAAUGUAUUAAAGAAACCCUCUGCAAGCAUGUUGGUCUACCAAGCUACAUAAGCAAAUAGGUUGCUGACUGCUGGUCCUCCCAGCAGUUUUGGUGGCAGACCUCUGAUUUCCACUGCAGGUAUCAGCAGAGAGCUUACUGCACACCUCAGAGCUGUCACAGCAGCCCUUGCAAAAUCUAUUAAUUUAAGAUUCAUAACCCUAAUCCUUAAUAAAAUUAUUUCCUAGUUGUACAAAUUACUCACUUCACAUUACCAAGAUAUGAAAGGUACUUCCAUUUUCAACGGACUAUAAAUUCCGCUAAUGCAAAGGAUUGUUUUAGAAAGAAAGGCAUACGCAUCUCUAUCCUUUUGGCAAACGGUGCGCAAAAUUUCAAUGCAAAGUCCCAUAACCUAAACAAAUCAAUAACUAAUCUAAUAAAAGAGUAAUUUACAGAAAUUAUUACAAUGUCAUGUCUUAGUUGGUUGAAACCAUGCAUCACACUACUGUAAAGAAUGCAGCGACUUACCAACCCAGCAACUAGAAGCAACACCAACAAUAAAGUCUUGUAGCAAGAGUAAUUUCUUUUUUCCUUCUACAGCAAAUCUAUGUUGAUUGUUUUGCUUCAGGGUGGAGGGUCAGAAAUAAUACCUCUGAUUACUGCUAGUAAAUCUGAGUCAUUUUCAUGGUGUACAGCAGUAUGAGACCACACGGCACCUGAGGACAGUCCCAGGUAGAGAGAGAGGAAUCAGGAUCAACAGCCUUGACAGGAGGUGAGGCUUCACUUCCUGGGAAGCCGCAGCCACUGAUCCUCAGGGGGUUGCUUGAGGAAGAAGAGCACAGAGAAGCUUCCUCAGGUAAUCUCAGCAAGUGCUACGCACAGGACGUCUCAGCGUGUGUGCUACCUCUUCCAGGAUUACAGACACUUACAAUGCUUUCUCUGGCUUGAAGUAUACCCUGAGAAUUUGUGCCAGAAACUAGAAAACAGCAAA